UACGUAGGGUGCAAGCGUUGUUCGGAAUUAUUGGGCGUAAAGAGCUCGUAGGCGGUCUGUCACGUCUGCUGUGAAAACUCGGGGCUUAACCCCGGGCCUGCAGUGGGUACGGGCAGACUAGAGUGCGGUAGGGGAGACUGGAAUUCCUGGUGUAGCGGUGAAAUGCGCAGAUAUCAGGAGGAACACCGGUGGCGAAGGCGGGUCUCUGGGCCGUAACUGACGCUGAGGAGCGAAAGCGUGGGGAGCGAACAGG
rnacentral:rRNA from 1 species